rnacentral:piRNA from 1 species
UCCUGUCUGGGGUAGGGUAGAGA